CCUACGGGUGGCAGCAGUGAGGAAUAUUGGUCAAUGGGCGGGAGCCUGAACCAGCCAAGUCGCGUGAGGGACGACGGUCCUAUGGAUUGUAAACCUCUUUUGUCGGGGAACAAAGGCGCCCACGGGUGGGCGGAUGAGUGUACCCGAAGAAAAAGCAUCGGCUAACUCCGUGCCAGCAGCCGCGGUAAUACGGAGGAUGCGAGCGUUAUCCGGAUUUAUUGGGUUUAAAGGGUGCGUAGGCGGACAGUCAAGUCAGCGGUAAAAAUGCGGUGCUCAACGCCGUACAGCCGUUGAAACUGGCAGUCUUGAGUGGGCGAGAAGUAUGCGGAAUGCGUGGUGUAGCGGUGAAAUGCGUAGAUAUUAGGAGGAACACCAGUGGCGAAGGCGGCUUACUGGACUGUAACUGACGUUGAGGCUCGAAAGCGUGGGGAGCAAACAGGAUUAGAUACCCGGGUAGUC
rnacentral:rRNA from 1 species